rnacentral:rRNA from 1 species
CACGAAGUUAGCCGGGGCUUCUUCUCCGGGUACCGUCAUUAUCGUCCCCGGUGAAAGAGCUUUACAAUCCUAAGACCUUCAUCACUCACGCGGCAUGGCUGGAUCAGGCUUGCGCCCAUUGUCCAAUAUUCCCCACUGCUGCCUCCCGUAGGAGUUUGGGCCGUGUCUCAGUCCCAAUGUGGCUGAUCAUCCUCUUAGACCAGCUAUGGAUCGUCGCCUUGGUAGGCCUUUACCCCACCAACUAGCUAAUCCAACGCGGGCUCAUCCUUUGGCGAUAAAUCUUUCGCUCUCAAGCCACAUACGGUAUUAAUUCCAGUUUCCCGGAGCUAUCCCGUACCAAAGGGUAGAUUCCCACGCGUUACUCACCCGUCUGCCACUCCCCUUGCGGGCGUUCGACUUGCAUGUGUUAAGCCUGCCGCCAGCGUUCGUUCUGAGCCAGGAUCAAACUCU